GUGCCGAUUGCCGUUGUUGGCGGUUCACCGAUUCGAGCGGGGUUGGACCUGCAGUGAGAGAUUUAUUGGAAGAAAAACCACGACUGAAGACGAGGGAACAGCAACAAGUGAACCAGCCCGAGGACUGAGAGCACCGACUGGAGAGAACCCAUCUGACUUGGAGAUUCCAGUGAUUCAGUCAGGAGAAAGUUUGGUUAAAAAUGACAAGGAAUUUGUCUACGGGAAUCUCGAACACUACAUGCCAGUUUUGCUGUUUCUGUCCAGAUAUUUAAGAAGUGGAGCAAGGGAUUCACUCGAUCAUCCUUCCUGCUCAGACUGUGGGGAGGGAUUCCCUCGAUCAUCCUUCCUGCUCAGACAGUGGGGAGGGAUUCACUCGGUCAUACAUCCUGCUCAGACUGUGGAGAGGGAUUCACUUGGUCAUCCUUCCCACUCAGACUGUGGGGAGGGAUUCACUCGGUCAUCCUUCCUGCUCAGACUGUGGGGAGGGAUUCACUCGAUCAUCCUUCCUGCUCAGACUGUGGGGAGGGAUUCACUCGGUCAUCCUUCCUGCUCAGACUGUGGGGAGGGAUUCACUCGAUCAUCCUUCCUGCUCAGACUGUGGGGAGGGAUUCACUCGGUCAUCCUUCCUGCUCAGACUGUGGGGAGGGAUUCACUCUAUCAUCAGACUGACUGCCAUGCCUGCCAUUUUAAACGGGGGUGGUGGGGGGGUACCUGUUCAUCUGCUCAGACAGUGGGAAUGGAUUCAGUUGGACAUUUCAACUGAAGGGACAUCAGCAAGUUUAUACUGGGGCAAGGCCAUUCACCUGUUCUGUGUGUGAGAAGGGGUUCAGUCGGUCU